CUUCGCUGCUGCAGAGACACUCUCCUUCGUUUGUUCUUCCAGACCCAGAUGUCUCCUGAGAGCAUUUCCUCCAUAAAUCACUUAUGCAAGGAUCUCUGGCCUGGGCUCUGCUUCUGUGGAUACCGACCUGAGAUAGAAGAGGAAGAACACACUGGAGCCACUGACAGAAAAGGGAAGAACAACAGUGCAUGGAGGCCAAGCCGGAGGAGGUGCUAAGACAAGCACUGGAUGAUCAAACUGUCUGAGAGCUGCUGGAAUGCAAGUCU